GGACGAACGCUGGCGGCGUGCCUAACACAUGCAAGUCGAGCGGGGAACUUCGGUUCCCAGCGGCGGACGGGUGAGUAACACGUGGGUAACCUGCCUUGUAGAGGGGGAUAGCCUUCCGAAAGGAAGAUUAAUACCGCAUAACAUUAUGCUUUCGCAUGAGAGUAUAAUCAAAGGAGCAAUCCACUACAAGAUGGACCCGCGGCGCAUUAGCUAGUUGGUGAGGUAACGGCUCACCAAGGCGACGAUGCGUAGCCGGCCUGAGAGGGUGAACGGCCACAUUGGAACUGAGACACGGUCCAGACUCCUACGGGAGGCAGCAGUGGGGAAUAUUGCACAAUGGGCGAAAGCCUGAUGCAGCAACGCCGCGUGAGUGAUGAAGGCCUUCGGGUUGUAAAGCUCUGUCUUCUGGGACGAUAAUGACGGUACCAGAGGAGGAAGCCACGGCUAACUACGUGCCAGCAGCCGCGGUAAUACGUAGGUGGCAAGCGUUGUCCGGAUUUACUGGGCGUAAAGGAUGCGUAGGCGGAUGCUUAAGUCAGAUGUGAAAAUCCCGGGCUUAACUUGGGAACUGCAUUUGAAACUGGGUAUCUAGAGUGCGGGAGAGGAGAGUGGAAUUCCUAGUGUAGCGGUGAAAUGCGUAGAGAUUAGGAAGAACACCAGUGGCGAAGGCGACUCNCUGGACCGUAACUGACGCUGAGGCAUGAAAGCGUGGGGAGCAAACAGGAUUAGAUACCCUGGUAGNCCACGCCGUAAACUAUGAAUACUAGGUGUGGGAGUUGUCAUGACUUCCGUGCCGCAGUUAACACAAUAAGUAU
rnacentral:rRNA from 1 species